UGCCAUACAGUACACAGCAGUCCGCAGAGCCACAUUCUAGCUGUGAGACUCCUUUGCUGCUUGCUAUUUCUCCUGUACCCCUAUACCUCUCUAUUUUUGGUGAACACGUUUGAGUUAUCCUAUCCUUUGACCUACAGUAAUGACAGUUGUAACAGUUUGUUAACUUACAAGAAAUGACCCAUAGAAUUGGUUGUGGUGUAUAGCCCAACUUCCUGUUAUUCUGCCCACACAAUGUGUGAGUGCGGACAAAUGUUUAAGUAUUAAAGAUAGGACCAG